UAAUACGGAGGGUGCAAGCGUUAAUCGGAAUUACUGAGCGUAAAGAGUACGUAGGUGGUUCGUUAAGUCAGAUGUGAAAGCCCAGGGCUCAACCUUGGAACUGCAUUUGAUACUGGCAAACUAGAGUAUGGUAGAGGGGGGUAGAAUUCCUAGUGUAGCGGUGAAAUGCGUAGAUAUUAGGAGGAAUACCAGUGGCGAAGGCGGCCCCCUGGACCAAUACUGACACUGAGGUACGAAAGCGUGGGGAGCGAACAGGAUUAGAUACCCUGGUAGUCCACGCCGUAAACGAUGUCAACUAGCCGUUGGGACCUUGAGGUCUCAGUGGUGCAGCUAACGCGUGAAGUUGACCGCCUGGGGAGUACGGCCGCAAGGCUA
rnacentral:rRNA from 1 species